rnacentral:rRNA from 1 species
AGAGUUUGAUCAUGGCUCAGGAUGAACGCUGGCGGCGUGCCUAACACAUGCAAGUCGAACGGACCCUUCGGGGUUAGUGGCGCACGGGUGAGGAACACGUAGCUUACCUGCCCUUUACACUGAGAUAACUCUGCGAAAGCAGAGCUAAUAUCGGAUAAGCUCACGAGGAACAGUAUCCUGGUGAGAAAAGCUCCGGCGGUAAAGGAGGGGGCUGCGGCCCAUCAGCUAGUUGGUGAGGUAAUGGCUCACCAAGGCACGACGGGCAGGGGACCUGAGAGGGUGACCCCCCACACUGGGACUGAGACACGGCCCAGACUCCUACGGGAGGCAGCAGUGAGGAAUAUUGCUCAAUGGGCGCAAGCCUGAAGCAGCGACGCCGCGUGGACGAUGAAGGUCUUCGGAUCGUAAAGUCCUUUUCUGUGUGACGAGGAAGGACGGUAGCACAGGAAUAAGUGUCGGCUAAUACGUGCCAGCAGCCGCGGUAACAC